rnacentral:rRNA from 1 species
CCUACGGGCGACAGCAGUGAGGAAUAUUGGUCAAUGGGCGCGAGCCUGAACCAGCCAAGUAGCGUGAAGGAUGACUGCCCUACGGGCUGUAAACUUCUUUUAUAAAGGAAUAAAGUGAGGCACGUGUGCCUUUUUGUAUUUACUUUAUGAAUAAGGAUCGGCUAACUCCGUGCCAGCAGCCGCGGUAAUACGGAGGAUCCGAGCGUUAUCCGGAUUUAUUGGGUUUAAAGGGAGCGUAGAUGGGUUGUUAAGUCAGUUGUGAAAGUUUGCGGCUCAACCGUAAAAUUGCAAUUGAUACUGGCAGUCUUGAGUACAGUUGAGGUAGGCGGAAUUCGAGGUGUAGCGGUGAAAUGCUUAGAUAUCACGAAGAACUCCGAUUGCGAAGGCAGCUUACUAAACGGCCACUGACAUUGAUGCGCGAAAGUGUGGGUAUCAAACAGGAUUAGAUACCCCUGUAGUC